GGACGAACGCUGGCGGCGUGCUUAACACAUGCAAGUCGAGCGGUAAGGCCCUUCGGGGUACACGAGCGGCGAACGGGUGAGUAACACGUGGGUGAUCUGCCUCGCACUCUGGGAUAAGCCUGGGAAACUGGGUCUAAUACCGGAUAUGAGCMKYSKSUGCAUGSSKGWKGUUGGAAAGGUUUACUGGUGCGAGAUGGGCCCGCGGCCUAUCAGCUUGUUGGUGGGGUAAUGGCCUACCAAGGCGACGACGGGUAGCCGGCCUGAGAGGGCGACCGGCCACACUGGGACUGAGACACGGCCCAGACUCCUACGGGAGGCAGCAGUGGGGAAUAUUGCACAAUGGGCGAAAGCCUGAUGCAGCGACGCCGCGUGAGGGAUGACGGCCUUCGGGUUGUAAACCUCUUUCGACAGGGACGAAGCGCAAGUGACGGUACCUGUAGAAGAAGCACCGGCUAACUACGU
rnacentral:rRNA from 1 species